UGACGUUAGGAAAGCGAGCGGCGGAUGGGUGAGUAACACGUGGGGAACCUGCCCCAUAGUCUGGGAUACCACUUGGAAACAGGUGCUAAUACCGGAUAAGAAAGCAGAUCGCAUGAUCAGCUUUUAAAAGGCGGCGUAAGCUGUCGCUAUGGGAUGGCCCCGCGGUGCAUUAGCUAGUUGGUAAGGUAAAGGCUUACCAAGGCGAUGAUGCAUAGCCGAGUUGAGAGACUGAUCGGCCACAUUGGGACUGAGACACGGCCCAAACUCCUACGGGAGGCAGCAGUAGGGAAUCUUCCACAAUGGACGCAAGUCUGAUGGAGCAACGCCGCGUGAGUGAAGAAGGUUUUCGGAUCGUAAAGCUCUGUUGUUGGUGAAGAAGGAUAGAGGUAGUAACUGGCCUUUAUUUGACGGUAAUCAACCAGAAAGUCACGGCUAACUACGUGCCAGCAGCCGCGGUAAUACGUAGGUGGCAAGCGUUGUCCGGAUUUAUUGGGCGUAAAGCGAGCGCAGGCGGAAGAAUAAGUCUGAUGUGAAAGCCCUCGGCUUAACCGAGGAACUGCAUCGGAAACUGUUUUUCUUGAGUGCAGAAGAGGAGAGUGGAACUCCAUGUGUAGCGGUGGAAUGCGUAAGAUAUAUGGAAGAACACCAG
rnacentral:rRNA from 1 species